GAUGAACGCUGGCGGCGUGCCUAAUACAUGCAAGUCGAGCGACAGGACGAGAAGCUUGUUCCUUUGAUGUUAGCGGCGGACGGGCGAGUAACACGUGGAUAACCUUCUUAUUUGACUGGGAUAAUUUCGGGAAACCGUAUCCACUACCGGAUAAUAUUUUGAACCGCAUGGUUCAAAAGUGCAUGACGGCUUUGCUGUCUCUUUUAGAUGGAUUCGCGCUGCAUUAGCUAGUUGGUAAGGUAACGGCUUACCAAGGCAACGAUGCGUAGCCGACCUGAGAGGGUGAUCAGCCACACUGGAACUGAGACACGGUCCAGACUCCUACGGGAGGCAGCAGUGGGGAAUAUUCCGCAAUGGGCGAAAGCCUGACGGAGCAACGCCGCGUGGGUGAUGAAGGUCUUCGGGUCGUAAAGCUCUGUUAUUAGGAAAGAACAGAUGUGGAAGUAACUGUGCACGUCUUGACGGUACCUAAACAGAAAGCCACGGCUAACUACGUG
rnacentral:rRNA from 1 species